GUAAUCGAGUGUGGGGAGCUGUGGAGAGCACCGCCUGGAGGCUGCAGCCAUCUUCAGGAGCUCCGCAUUCCCGGUGCUCCGACGUUAGGUGUUUGGUUUGUACUCUCCAUGGAUCUUUUGUCGGAUUUUAUUGGUUUGUUGAUCUUUGCCGUGUUGGCGGUAUCCCUCCGCCCACUGCUGCCCGCAGCACGGUGGGACUCCCGGGCACGGCAGGGCAGGGCCGCCCCGCGCCCUUCAGCUCCACAGCCAUGACACAGAGGGGCAGCCCGGCGGGAGGAUCCCUGUGGCUCCGGGCAGCGCGAUGCCGCUCCCGACCCCGACAGGAGGGUUCAGCUAGGAGCCUCUCGAAGGGGAUUUUGCAGAGAGCGAUCGGCAGGACAGAGCCCCGUCGUUAUUACAGAACUAAUGAGUUCUCCAGGCGCUCCCUUCGGGCCGAGGAACUGCCGUGCUCCACACAGGGACCGCCGAGGAGAAAUAAGCCUGGUGCGGACGCCCCGUCCCGGGCGGCUGCGGAUCCCUCGGUGCCACCGUGGGCGCUCCGCGUUCGUCGCAGAGUUGGGACCGCAGCUCUCCGCCAGAGCUGCGCUGUGUCCCUCCCGACGAAAAGUCCAACAGAACGCAGUUCCAAAAAGAAAGGGAAAAGCGUUGGGAAGCACAGACUGUAACGCCCCGCGGAGGGCAGCGGGUCAGAGCCUCCCGCGCCCCCAUUAAGUGCUCCGAGCUGCAAAUCCAACACUUCCAGCCCAGCCAUGAGCUAACCAACCCCCUUGGACGGAGCAAUGCCUCGGAGACCGGGAGCGGAGAGAAAAAAUAAUCAGAACUGUCAGCCCGCUUGACGUGUACCUGAUAUUUACAAGACACAAGACCGCGCUUUAAAGGUGAGUUUUGGCAUUUGUUAACAACAUAAAGAAAAAAAUCCAACCUCCUGAUAUUAUUAAAAUAUAUAUAUAUUUCCAUUUCCACAACACCCUUUCGUCUCGCUCCCAGUCUCUUACUUAUUAAGAACUUCGUGGGUUUAGGGGGGGAGGAAGUAUUCAUACAUAUAUAUAUAUGUGUGCGUAAAAGCAGCACCUGCUGUUCCUUAGCAGCUCUCUGUGCUCGCUGUCACCAGGCGGAGAGAGGAGGACACCUGCUGCCGACCCGCUCCCUCGUCGGGGCGCUCCCUGGGGCGGCUCUGUGGGGUUUGGCGCUGCCGGAGGAGGGCGAGCGGCCGCCUCGCACUGCCUCCCUCCCUCCGGUGCGCGGGGAGCCGUUUCCAGCGCCUCGUCCGCCCUGUCGGGGGCUCCGCCGCCGCUACCUCUCCCUCAGCGGCAG
rnacentral:lncRNA from 1 species